rnacentral:rRNA from 1 species
GAUGAACGCUGGCGGCGUGCCUAAUACAUGCAAGUCGAGCGAACAGACGAGGAGCUUGCUCCUCUGACGUUAGCGGCGGACGUGUGAGUAACACGUGUAUACCCUACCUAUAAUACUGAUAUAACUUCGAGAAACCGGAUCUAAUACCGUAUGAUAUAUUGAACCGCAUUGUUCAAUAGUAAAAUACGGCGUUGCUGUCACUUAUAGAUGGAUCCGCGCCGCAUUAGCUAGUUGGUAAGGUAACGGCCUACCAAGGCAACGAUGCGUAGCCGAACUGAGAGGGUGAUCGCCCACCCUGGAACGGAGACACGGUCAAGACUACUACGGGACGCAGCAGUAGGGAAUCUUCCGCAAUGGGCGAAAGCAUGACGGAGCAAGGCCGAGUGAGUGAUGAAGGUCUUCGGAUCGUAAAAAUCUGUUACUAGGGAAGAACAAAUGUGUAAGUAACUAUGCACGUCUUGACGGUACCUAAUAAGAAAGCCACGGCUAACUACGUG